CAGUAGCCACGGUAAUACGAAGGGGGCUAGCGUUGUUCGGAUUUACUGGGCGUAAAGCGCACGUAGGCGGAUCGAUCAGUCAGGGGUGAAAUCCCAGAGCUCAACUCUGGAACUGCCUUUGAUACUGUCGAUCUGGAGUAUGGAAGAGGUGAGUGGAAUUCCGAGUGUAGAGGUGAAAUUCGUAGAUAUUCGGAGGAACACCAGUGGCGAAGGCGGCUCACUGGUCCAUUACUGACGCUGAGGUGCGAAAGCGUGGGGAGCAAACGGGAUUAGAUACCCCGGUAGUCCCUGUCUCUUAUAC
rnacentral:rRNA from 1 species